CAAAAAAUGUAUAAUUUUCUUAUUCAAAAUCGCCUACAGCAUUUUAAAUGAGGAAACCUAAACUAUUAAGAAAAAAAUUGUUCACAUUUUCAAUGCAUAGGCAAAGACGUGUCGAAAUAUUCAUUAUGUGUGUACAGAAUUCCCUGAGUUAGUAGGGCUCUACAGAGACAGUUAGUAAGUGAAUGCAUUACACUGUCAAUAUUAGGAUUUUUUUUCUAAAGGAGAUGAAACUAUCAUGUAUGAUACUCAAGUGAUGGAUACACAACAGCAUGCAUUUGUCAAGACCCAUACAACUUCACAGCACAAAGUUUGAAUUUAAUAUACGCAAAUUUAAAAAAUUAUUUGAAAGGUUGGGAGUUCUCAAAUGAAAUGCAUACUGUGACAAAAGAAUCUAACUGCAUAUCAUGUACAAAACAAUCUCACUAAAAAAGUAAGGAGAAAAGGUUCUGGCUUAAGAAAGUUUGAAAAUGAGUGGAGUCUGUAAGACUAACAGCAAAUAAACUUCAUGUAAGUAUU
rnacentral:antisense_RNA from 1 species